UACGGAGGAUGCGAGCGUUAUCCGGAUUUAUUGGGUUUAAAGGGUGCGCAGGCGGCACGGCAAGCCGGCGGUCAAAUCGCGGGGCUCAACCCCGCCCAGCCGUCGGAACUGCCGGGCUAGAGAGGGCGAGAAGUGCGCGGAAUGCGUGGUGUAGCGGUGAAAUGCAUAGAUAUCACGCAGAACUCCGAUUGCGAAGGCAGCGCACCGGCGCCCUACUGACGCUCAGGCACGAAAGCGUGGGUAUCGAACAGG
rnacentral:rRNA from 1 species